GAUUAACGCUAGCUGUGCGCCUAACACAUGCAAGUCGAGCGGGGUGAUGGUGCUUGCACUAUCACUUAGCGGCGGACGGGUGAGUAAUGCUUAGGAAUCUGCCUAUUAGUGGGGGACAACAUCUCGAAAGAGAUGCUAAUACCGCAUACGUCCUACGGGAGAAAGCAGGGGAUCACUUGUGACCUUGCGCUAAUAGAUGAGCCUAAGUCGGAUUAGCUAGUUGGUGGGGUAAAGGCCUACCAAGGUGACGAUCUGUAGCGGGUCUGAGAGGAUGAUCCGCCACACUGGGACUGAGACACGGCCCAGAAUCCUACGGGAGGCAGCAGUGGGGAAUAUUGGACAAUGGGGGGAACCCUGAUCCAGCCAUGCCGCGUGUGUGAAGAAGGCCUUAUGGUUGUAAAGCACCUUAAGCGAGGAGGAGGCUCUUUUGGUUAAUACCCAAGAUGAGUGGACGUUACUCGCAGAAUAAGCACCGGCUAACUCUGUGCCAGCAGCCGCCGCGG
rnacentral:rRNA from 1 species